AUACUUACCUGGCAGGGGAGAUACCAUGAUCACGAAGGUGGUUUUCCCAAGGUGAGGCUCACCCAUUGCAGUUUGAUGCAAAAAGAUCCUAACUCAAAACAUCCAGGAAAUCCAGGACACAAUGAGAAGACCAAACCUACGGAUAAUAGGAGUGGAUGAGAAUGAAGAUUUUCAACUCAAA
rnacentral:snRNA from 1 species